CUGAUUUUCAAUAUUCAUAACCUACAGCUCGAUUUGUCAUUGAAAUUCUUAUAAAAUUUUUGCAACCCAGUUGCAUUUUCCUAAAGUGGAAAAUAUUUCACAAACUUUAUGCCCUACAGCCAUAUGGCAGUAAAAUGCUCAUACGUCAUGUUGGCCAAGCGUUGAAGCUGUUUCUGCUGUCGUUGUUGUGGACGUUUAGUUACCCGCAGCAUAAUUGCAGCAAAGCAGUCAAAAUAGAGCAGACAAGGGAAAAAACAAAGAAAGGAAAUGCAGAGGCGCAAAGAGAAGCAAUGACAUUGCUUUAAGAAAAGCAGCAACAACUUAUGAGAAGGGAAAAAAGCAAGGUAAAAAAUUAUCGCACUGCGUGACUGAGACGCAGUGAAGCAGACAAAACAAACUGCGCAGACAACGAGCAACUCAACAUACUGCAGCUCAGCUGGAUAAACAGACGGGUGAAGAAAGAGUGAGUAAGAAAGAGAGGGAAAGACUGCCACACAUUGUGGCAAGUAUAUCCUUUUUACGGAGCACUGUAGUCAAGUCAUUUGUCUGCCUGAAUGCGAAGCCGUCUCAUCAGUGCGCCAACAUAAAGAAGGCAAAAGAAGAUGUGUAACAAACAAACUCAAAACCCAAACCAAAAGCAAAAGCAAGAAAAAAAGGGUAAGAACGCAUAGUUAUUUAUCAUGUUAUAAGUUAUGAUGUCAGCAUGCUGGCAUUAUGUGACUGAUAAGCGCCAGAAAAUGAGCACAAACACAUUCACACACACACAUACACUCACACAUGUGAAUGUCUUAAAUAACAUAAAUGGAAUGAAAAAUCGAGGUGUGAAAAAGUU